ACGCGCGGAACCUUACCAGGUCUUGACAUCCUCUGACACUCCUAGAGAUAGGACGUUCCCCUUCGGGGGACAGAGUGACAGGUGGUGCAUGGUUGUCGUCAGCUCGUGUCGUGAGAUGUUGGGUUAAGUCCCGCAACGAGCGCAACCCUUGAUCUUAGUUGCCAGCAUUAAGUUGGGCACUCUAAGGUGACUGCCGGUGACAAACCGGAGGAAGGUGGGGAUGACGUCAAAUCAUCAUGCCCCUUAUGACCUGGGCUACACACGUGCUACAAUGGACGGUACAAACGGUUGCCAACCCGCGAGGGGGAGCUAAUCCGAUAAAACCGUUCUCAGUUCGGAUUGUAGGCUGCAACUCGCCUACAUGAAGCCGGAAUCGCUAGUAAUCGCGGAUCAGCAUGCCGCGGUGAAUACGUUCCCGGGCCUUGUACUCACCGCCCGU
rnacentral:rRNA from 1 species